AGUAGCCACGGGAAAACGAGGGGUGCAAGCGUUAUUCGGAUUGAUUGGGUGUAAAGGGUGUGCAGACGGCUUAUUAAGUCACUUGUUAAAUUCUUCGGCCUAACUGAAGGUCUGCAAGUGAUACUGAUGAGCUAGAGGGUGGAAGAGAGAAGUGGAAUUCUCGGAGUAGCGGUAAAAUGCGUAGAUCUCGAGAGGAACACCAAUGGCGAAGGCAGCUUCUUGGUCCAUUCCUGACGUUCAUACACGAAAGCGUGGGGAGCAAACAGGAUUAGAUACCCGCGUAGUCCCUGUCUCUUAUACA
rnacentral:rRNA from 1 species